AUUGAACGCUGGCGGCAGGCUUAACACAUGCAAGUCGAGCGGAGAUGAGGUGCUUGCACCUUAUCUUAGCGGCGGACGGGUGAGUAAUGCUUAGGAAUCUGCCUAUUAGUGGGGGACAACAUUCCGAAAGGAAUGCUAAUACCGCAUACGUCCUACGGGAGAAAGCAGGGGAUCAUCGGACCUUGCGCUAAUAGAUGAGCCUAAGUGGGAUUAGCUAGUUGGUGGGGUAAAGGCCUACCAAGGCGACGAUCCGUAGCGGGUCUGAGAGGAUGAUCCGCCACACUGGGACUGAGACACGGCCCAGACUCCUACGGGAGGCAGCAGUGGGGAAUAUUGGACAAUGGGGGGAACCCUGAUCCAGCCAUGCCGCGUGUGUGAAGAAGGCCUUAUGGUUGUAAAGCACUUUAAGCGAGGAGGAGGCUACUGAGACUAAUACUCUUGGAUAGUGGACGUUACUCGCAGAAUAAGCACCGGCUAACUCUGUGCCAGCCGCCGCAGUAAUAC
rnacentral:rRNA from 1 species